GACGAACCGUGCGAACGUUAUUCGGAAUCACUGGGCUUAAAGGGCGCGUAGGCGGGCGAUCAAGUCCGGGGUGAAAGCCCCCAGCUUAACUGGGGAAGUGCCUCGGAUACUGACCGCCUCGAGGGAGAUAGGGGCGUGCGGAACUUCCGGUGGAGCGGUGAAAUGCGUAGAUAUCGGAAGGAACACCGGUGGCGAAAGCGGCGCGCUGGAUCUCUUCUGACGCUGAGGCGCGAAAGCCAGGGGAGCGAACGGG
rnacentral:rRNA from 1 species